rnacentral:rRNA from 1 species
CCGCCGGCGACCGGCGCACGGGUGAGUAACACGUAUGCAACCUGGCCGUGACAGAUGGAUAACCGGGAGAAAUCCCGCCUAAUACAACAUAAUGCCGGGAGGGGACAUCCCCUGCCGGUCAAAGGGGGCGACCCCCGGUCAUGGAUGGGCAUGCGGCGCAUUAGGUAGUUGGUGGGGCAACGGCCCACCAAGCCGACGAUGCGUAGGGGUUCUGAGAGGAAGGUCCCCCACAUUGGAACUGAGACACGGUCCAAACUCCUACGGAAGGCAGCAG